rnacentral:rRNA from 1 species
GACGAACGCUGGCGGCGUGCCUAACACAUGCAAGUCGAACGGACGAGAUUUCUUCGGAGAUCGAGUUAGUGGCGAACGGGUGAGUAACGCGUGAGCAACCUGCCUUUCAGAGGGGGACAACAGUUGGAAACGACUGCUAAUACCGCAUAACGCAUUCGAGGGCAUCCCUUGAAUGCCAAAGAUUUAUCGCUGAAAGAUGGGCUCGCGUCUGAUUAGCUAGUUGGUGGGGUAACGGCCCACCAAGGCGACGAUCAGUAGCCGGACUGAGAGGUUGAACGGCCACAUUGGGACUGAGAUACGGCCCAG